GGAGCUCAGUCAGUAGAGCAUGAAACUCCUAAUCUCAGGGUUGUGAGUUUGAGCCCCUUGUUGGGCA